rnacentral:rRNA from 1 species
AUACCCGCGGCUAGACGGAAAGGCCCCGUGAACCUUUACUACAGCUUGACACUGAACAUUGAGCCUACAUGUGUAGGAUAGGUGGGAGGCUUUGAAGCGAGGACGCCAGUUCUUGUGGAGCCAAUCUUGAAAUACCACCCUUGUAUGUUUGAUGUUCUAACAUUGGUCCCUUAUCGGGAUUGUGGACAGUGUCUGGAGGGUAGUUUGACUGGGGCGG